UCAGUGGCUCAAGAACGAACGCUGGCGGCAUGCCUAACACGAUGGCAAGUCGAACGCGUGUAGCAAUACACGGAGUGGCGGACGGGUGAGUAACGCGUGGGAACCUGCCCAAUGGUAGGGAAUAACGUGCGGGAAACUGCAGCUAAUACCCUAUGCUCCCUACGGGGGGAAAGAUUUUAUCGCCAUUGGAGGGGCCCGCGUCGGACUAGCUAGUUGGCGGGGUAAUGGCCCACCAAGGCUACGAUCCGUAGCUGGUCUGAGAGGAUGAUCAGCCACACUGGGACUGAGAUACGGCCCAGACUCCUACGGGAGGCAGCAGUGGGGAAUAUUGGACAAUGGGGGAAACCCUGAAUCCAGCAAUGCCGCGUGAGUGAAGAAGGCCUUAGGGUUGUAAAGCUCUUUCGGCGGGGACGAUGGUGACGGUACCCGCAGAAGAAGCCCCGGCUAACUUCGUGCCAGCCGCAGC
rnacentral:rRNA from 1 species